AGGUAAUGGCCCACCAAGACUAUUACAGGUACGGGCUCUGAGAGGAGUAGCCCGGAGAUGGGUACUGAGACACGGACCCAGGCCCUAUGGGGCGCAGCAGGCGAGAAAACUUUGCAAUGUGCGAAAGCACGACAAGGUUAAUCCGAGUGGUUUCUGCUAAAGGAACCUUUUGUUAGUCCUAGAAACACUAACGAAUAAGGGGUGGGCAAGUUCUGGUGUCAGCCGCCGCGGUAAAACCAGCACCUCAAGUGGUCAGGAUGAUUAUUGGGCCUAAAGCAUCCGUAGCCGGCUCUGUAAGUUUUCGGUUAAAUCUGUACGCUCAACGUACAGGCUGCCGGGAAUACUGCAGAGCUAGGGAGUGGGAGAGGUAGACGGUACUCGGUAGGAAGGGGUAAAAUCCUUUGAUCUAUUGAUGACCACCUGUGGCGAAGGCGGUCUACCAGAACACGUCCGACGGUGAGGGAUGAAAGCUGGGGGAGCAAACCGGAUUAGAUACCCGGGUAGUCCCAGCUGUAAACUAUGCAAACUCAGUGAUGCAUUGACUUGUGGUCAAUGCAGUGCUGCAGGGAAGCCGUUAAGUUUGCCGCCUGGGAAGUACGUACGCAAGUAUGAAACUUAAAGGAAUUGGCGGGGGAGCACCACAAGGGGUGAAGCCUGCGGUUCAAUUGGAUUCAAC
rnacentral:rRNA from 1 species